UUAAAAUGUUUAGAAUAGGUAGAUUAAAAAGAAAAUAACGAAAUCAGAAACUCAACCAUGGUUGAACAAAUGCGAUUUUGAAAAGAAUAUUUCCAUCACAUCAAAGUGAAUUCAGAUGGAUUUAUACUUAUGGAACGUUAUAUGUUACUAGUCGGAGUUUAUGAAUGUUUUUACUUAUUUCUACAGUUUUACGAGUUUUACGAGUUUUGCCAGGAGAAGAAAUAGACUGUUAUACACUACUCAUGCAUUUACGUCAAUAGCUAUGCGAUAGUGUUGCCAUGGCAACCCAAUAGGUCGCGCACUGUUUUUUAAUUUAUUUUUUUUUAUUUCCGUAUUUUCCAGUGAAGCUUCUUACGCUCGAUUGACAAGCAUUUUAGACUGUAAAGGUAUCGAGGUCCACGUUCCAGCCUGAUUCGGAUCGCCUUUGCGGGUUGAAUUGCUGCCAGUAUGAAGUCGUUGAGUUUCCGAUCCAUUACGUAACCGGGUUGCUGCCACCUUCAAGUCGCUUCAAGAUUGAAUUUCUUCUUACAGCAUCAACAAAUGAGGGAAUUGUCUACUGCAGUUGAUCCAAUACAAAAUUCCCCAAAGUAACACCAAAUAGUGGCAUUGCAGCCAGUAGGGAGAACUUCUUAUGAGAUCUUGAGAGAAAAAGGCCGGUAAAGGGGUUAUCACGACUGUCACUGCACUGAAGAAUCUGUUGAGCAUUAGAAAGUGGAUCGUGAGCAACUCCAAUCUUCUGUCAGUAGGAUUUCGAUUCCUUAACGUGUAAAUAGUAUCAAGAUUAGCUUAGACAUGAGCGGCAUGCAGGGAAUAGGGUAGGAUUAAGUUAAGUGAGAUAGGUUCAAUGAAUCUGAAAUUAUAAAAAAAUUAAGAUUUAGAUGACCAAUAAUAAGAUUUGCGAACAAAAAGAUUUGACCUUUUG